AUGCACAGAAGUUACACACAUUGGAUCAGGCCACACAGCUGCAAACAUUUAUUGAGGGCCACUAUUUGCCCAGGAAACCCAGAUGAGCAGGAAGACACGCGCUCGGGGCUGGAGACGUGCACACCUGGGGAAGGAGGUGCACAGCCCGCGUCCUCAGUUCCUCCGCAAAGUCAGCUUCGCCGCAGCCCACCUCCCACCCGGGACCGGCCCCAAGGCCCUUCUCGAUUACCUCGAAAGGAUCUCCGGCACUGAAGUCGAAGGAGAGGAUGAGGUGAACCUCCCGCGUCGGGGGCAGCACGAGUGGGAAGGGAGUGUUGAUGGCUAAACCAGCAUCCACCAGGUGGAGGUGCUUCCGGCUGCUCAUUAUCUUGUCCCGGAUGCCACCUGUGGUGCCCAGGAAGAAAGAGGAUCAGCUGCUUCCGGGGACUGAAAGCAAGACUUGUAAAUGGAAGGC
rnacentral:antisense_RNA from 1 species